AAUGAAUGAUGACUAACAGUUUCGGUCCCAAAUGACUGCUGAUGAUGACUUUGAGAUCACCUGAUUUU